AUUGAACGCUGGCGGCAGGCUUAACACAUGCAAGUCGAGCGGAGAUGAGGUGCUUGCACCUUAUCUUAGCGGCGGACGGGUGAGUAAUGCUUAGGAAUCUGCCUAUUAGUGGGGGACAACAUUCCGAAAGGAAUGCUAAUACCGCAUACGUCCUACGGGAGAAAGCAGGGGAUCUUCGGACCUUGCGCUAAUAGAUGAGCCUAAGUCGGAUUAGCUAGUUGGUGGGGUAAAGGCCUACCAAGGCGACGAUCUGUAGCGGGUCUGAGAGGAUGAUCCGCCACACUGGGACUGAGACACGGCCCAGACUCCUACGGGAGGCAGCAGUGGGGAAUAUUGGACAAUGGGGGGAACCCUGAUCCAGCCAUGCCGCGUGUGUGAAGAAGGCCUUAUGGUUGUAAAGCACUUUAAGCGAGGAAGAGGCUCUUUUGGUUAAUACCCAAGAUGAGUGGACGUUACUCGCAGAAUAAGCACCGGCUAACUCUGUGCCAGCCGCCGCGGUAACAC
rnacentral:rRNA from 1 species